AAGAAAGAAAUUAUGUGCACUACAGUUUGAAAUAGAUAGCCAUAUCAGCCACUUCUCCCUGCAAUCGGAAAAGUCCUCCUUUGUUUACUUAAAAUUGCUCAAGCUAAAAGAAUGAGGACCAAUUUGACGUUGCUUUGUGUGCUAGUUCUUUCUGCCGUACUUCUUCAUGAUGUGGAAGGCCAGUGGCUGAUUUGGGAAGGAAGAUUACGUAGAGGAUUUGAACGGCAGCUACCCUUUAACAGUUUCUGCGCAACGCAAUAUUUACGUUGUCUGCAAGCCGGUGCCCCGCGAUAUAUCUGUUUCUCCGGGUACCAUAGAUGUUCAUGGAACGUUUGAAUCCCGCUUAUUCACCUCGGCUAGACGACAAGGAAUCGGACACUCAAUUAACAGAUGGUCAAAGAACAGUUUGUACGAGGGAGGAAAGGAACAUUUUGUACAAGAUGGCGGAAUGAUCG